rnacentral:pre_miRNA from 1 species
AGUGGGAUAGCUGGGUCAAAUGGUGAUUCCAUUUCAUGUUUUCUGAGAAAUCUCCAUACUGCUUUCUAGAACUGUUGCACAAUUUUGCAGUCCCACCAGCAAU